ACCCUCAUUUCUGCCUUCAUUAGGGUUUUCCUUUUGAGCGGUGCCGUCGUUACUCCUGGUUCUUCGUCUUUUUUUUCCUCCUUGGGUUUUCUUCGCCGAUCCGGUCUAUGAAACGUCGAUCAGAUCUAUGGUUUCAUGGAUCUUUCGCCGGUGGUUUUUUUUAUUUUUCGUAUGAUUUCUCAGUCUUUCUUUGAUUAGGCUGUAGAUCUAUGGGUUAUGUUUUAGUUUGUGAUCGAUCUUUGAUGUUAUAGUUCUUUAUGUGAAUAUGGUAAUUUUUUUGCUUAUUUUUUGUUAUUAAAAUCUCAACUAAGACUUACUCUCAAACCAGAUGGGGUGGGCCAGAUAAACCAUUUUUCCUCCAUUCCGCUCCAAUUUGGAAAGAUGUAGAGAAAUUAUUUUUCGCAUCAAAUUAGAUUUCUCUUCGAUUUUUUCUCUUUUUGGUGGUUCUACGUUUUUGUAGCUUUUAUUCCUCCCUUUUCUUUUUUUUAAAUGUAUAUUGUUUAUAGCUAUUCUCACCUCUUAUAAAUGUUACUCUUUGAUCUACAAGGGUAGGUUGUUUUGUUGUUACGUUUCUCUCGAUUGGAUAUAUUGACUCUGUAAUUAUUUGUUUUAAUUUCUUUUUAGGCUCUUAAGUAAUUAUUUAUGAUUUUUGCUUUUUUUUCCCCUAAACUUCUUGACUUAAUACGGUUAUCGCGUGCUAUAUCCAUGAUUUUUUUUUUAGGUCUGCACGAUUUGUUUUUGUGUUGCUAUCCUAUUUCUAUCCGGUAUUUUGCAGCAGAUCUUCUGUCGAUGGAAAAGGCUUCGGACCCAGGAAGGUUCUAUCCUUGUCCUCGUUUCAGAUCUGAGGUCGUCAUCAGAUUUCUUCGUUAUCCAUGUUGAUCGGGCUUGCGCGACCGUGGCGAUCAUCUUCGACUUCUCUUCCUCCAAUCGGAUGUAAAAGAUGAGAUCCAAGGGAAGCUGGGAAGCUACGUGGAUGGGAGAAGGUAAGGGGGUUUAGGGGAGAAAAAAACUCCUCUUGGAUCCUAUCCUGUUGUCACACCGACCUUUGCCAUGUUGGGUGCGCUCGCAUGGCAGGUCACCGAACCCUAAUAAAAUUUUUAUGUUUUUUUGGUAGGGGAGAUCGCACGGGGUUGGUCUUUUUCCCCGGGUUCUCCCCUUUCUGCUC